AAUUCUUACCGAGUCUUUCUAAAGGUUCAUAUAGAUGUUAUCUUGGUGUAGGUAACUCAUGCUCCGAAUCCGAGGAGCAAAGUUGAAUCAAGUUUGGGGAAAGCCGAGGGAUCGAGCCGUAUGGAAUUUAUGUGGAUUUUAAUAAACUUCCGUUUUGGUACUUAAAUCUUUUUAGUAGAUUGUAAUCCGUAGUACUUGAAUAUGUUAUCGGGAAAUGAUUUUA
rnacentral:lncRNA from 1 species